UACGGAGGGUCCAAGCGUUAUCCGGAAUCAUUGGGUUUAAAGGGUGCGCAGGCGGUAAAGUAAGUCAGUGGUGAAAUCUCUUCGCUCAACGAAGAAACUGCCAUUGAUACUGCUAUACUUGAAUAUAGUUGAAGCAGGCGGAAUGUGUAGUGUAGCGGUGAAAUGCUUAGAUAUUACACAGAACACCGAUAGCGAAGGCAGCUUACUAAACUAAUAUUGACGCUCAUGCACGAAAGCGUGGGGAGCAAACAGG
rnacentral:rRNA from 1 species